rnacentral:rRNA from 1 species
UACGUAGGGUGCAAGCGUUGUCCGGAAUUAUUGGGCGUAAAGAGCUCGUAGGCGGUCUGUCGCGUCUGCUGUGAAAACUCAGGGCUUAACCCUGAGCUUGCAGUGGGUACGGCGAGACUAGAGUGCGGUAGGGGAGAUCGGAAUUCCGUGGGUGUAGCGGUGAAAUGCGCAGAUAUCAGGAGGAACACCGGUGGCGAAGGCGGAUCUCUGGGCCUUAACCUGACGCUGAGGCGCGAAAGCUAGGGGAGCGAACAGG